rnacentral:rRNA from 1 species
AAUAAGCGGAGGAAAAGAAACCAACCGGGAUUGCCUUAGUAACGGCGAGUGAAGCGGCAAAAGCUCAAAUUUGAAAUCUGGUACCUUCGGUGCCCGAGUUGUAAUUUGGAGAGGGCAACUUUGGGGCCGUUCCUUGUCUAUGUUCCUUGGAACAGGACGUCAUAGAGGGUGAGAAUCCCGUGUGGCGAGGAGUGCGGUUCUUUGUAAAGUGCCUUCGAAGAGUCGAGUUGUUUGGGAAUGCAGCUCUAAGUGGGUGGUAAAUUCCAUCUAAAGCUAAAUAUUGGCGAGAGACCGAUAGCGAACAAGUACAGUGAUGGAAAGAUGAAAAGAACUUUGAAAAGAGAGUGAAAAAGUACGUGAAAUUGUUGAAAGGGAAGGGCAUUUGAUCAGACAUGGUGUUUUGUGCCCUCUGCUCCUUGUGGGUAGGGGAAUCUCGCAUUUCACUGGGCCAGCAUCAGUUUUGGUGGCAGGAUAAAUCCAUAGGAAUGUAGCUUGCCUCAAGGUAAGUAUUAUAGCCUGUGGGAAUACUGCCCAGCUGGGACUGAGGACUGCGACGU